GUCUACAGCCAUACCACCCUGAGCGCAUCUGAUCUCCUUUGAUCUCAGAAGCUAAGCAGGGUGGGGCCUGGUUAGUACUUGGAUGGAGCUCUGGUGGCAUAGUGG
rfam:Loxodonta africana unplaced genomic scaffold scaffold_3, whole genome shotgun sequence.